GCGCACUCUUCGGAGUGAGCGGCGGACGGGUUAGUAACGCGUGGGAACGUGCCCUUCUCUAAGGAAUAGCCACUGGAAACGGUGAGUAAUACCUUAUACGCCCUUCGGGGGAAAGAUUUAUCGGAGAAGGAUCGGCCCGCGUUAGAUUAGAUAGUUGGUGGGGUAACGGCCUACCAAGUCUACGAUCUAUAGCUGGUUUUAGAGGAUGAUCAGCAACACUGGGACUGAGACACGGCCCAGACUCCUACGGGAGGCAGCAGUGGGGAAUCUUGGACAAUGGGCGCAAGCCUGAUCCAGCCAUGCCGCGUGAGUGAUGAAGGCCUUAGGGUCGUAAAGCUCUUUCGCCAGAGAUGAUAAUGACAGUAUCUGGUAAAGAAACCCCGGCUAACUCCGUGCCAGCAGCCGCGGUAAUACGGAGGGGGUUAGCGUUGUUCGGAAUUACUGGGCGUAAAGCGCACGUAGGCGGAUCAGAAAGUAUAGGGUGAAAUCCCAGGGCUCAACCCUGGAACUGCCUUAUAAACUCCUGGUCUUGAGUUCGAGAGAGGUGAGUGGAAUUCCGAGUGUAGAGGUGAAAUUCGUAGAUAUUCGGAGGAACACCAGUGGCGAAGGCGGCUCACUGGCUCGAUACUGA
rnacentral:rRNA from 1 species